CUGCUGACAGCAGGAAGGUUUUGUAACACUUGGCUUUUCUCUGCAAGGGAAAGGUCUCCGAGGAGUCUCCCUGUUGCAAAAUGAAAUCAGAAAGAGACGGCUUUGAAAGGUUUGUGUCCAAAUCAGCCCCAGCCUAUCCGCAGCAGGACGAGAGCUGAUGUCCGAGCUGUUGGUGGGAGAUGAGGAGAGCUCCGGGCACACGAAGUGGCUCAGAGAAACCACUUGGGGGUGCCAGCUCUGCAGUUUCCACCGACUUAAAAGCUUUCCUGGAGCGGCUCCAGAGGUUACUUUGGAAAUGAGUCCGGGCAAGUAGAGAGAAUAUCCUGUGCUGCCGUGACUUUGAAGGAUCCCUCGCGUGGCCUUUCAUGUGGAUGCCAUUUUUAAAUAUAUUACAGCAGGCUGCGCUCCCUCGUGUCUCACCGCCUUGGUUCCGUUUGUACCUGCUUGGGAAGAGGCCUGGGAAGGCACCUUCAGCAACCACAGAAAAUGAGCAGGUCUCAACAAGUGCCACCAAGCGGUCGGUCCCACCGCUGACCUGUCCGAGCCUGAGCCCUGCCUCUCCCAGACCAACCUCUCCUCUGCUGAAAAUCACAUUCUCAUUCCCCUGCUGCUGUUGCAGGGAAUGUCUUUAAUGUUUUUAGCUAUUUAUUUUCCUGCUGUAGAGCCUUGCAAACAGGUACACGCCGCUGGGGCAGCAGUUAUUUUUCACAGUCCCCUCCACCUCCUGUGCAGCCCUUGAGAGGGAAGGGGACGGCACGUGCUCAACGGGGGGAGCCCCAGCCGGAUGAUUUGGGGUACGUUUGCUCCACGAUGCAGAGCCAGGAGGAAAAGCAGCUUGCUUUGCUGUUUUACUCUGGAUUUUUGCACCGCACUGGCUUGUCAGUAGCCGCUUGCAGCGAUCUGUGCUCCUGGCACGGCAAGGUGAGGGCAGCACGCUGCCGGUACCAGCGCUGCUGGAAUAACGUGGAAAGAAAAAGCGCGACCAAAACUCCCGACUCUGCACCGUGAAUCCCUGGCGGGGGGGGCGGGCUGUAACCGGGACACUGCUGUGGAGUUGUAAAGUGAAAUACAUGCCGAAAUUCCCUUUGAAAUGGAAAUUUGGAGCCUGUGCCAGCUCCUCUCCAGCUCCAGGCUCUGGAUCCUCGGCGUUACACAAGCCAGAGCUUGGGCGGACGCUUGGCGCGAGGACGGAGCCGAGGGGCGGCGUGGGUCGGUGUGCCCCAAUGCCACCGGGUGCCACCCUGCGGGAAGGCUGUGCCCAAAACCUUCCAGUCUGCUUUGAGACGGAGGGAGGAGGGGUUUAAUGCAGAAACAGGACCCUCCGUGUUUUCAUUUCGAGGGCUUAAAACCACACCGAGGUUGAAAGGAGCGUUGGCAGCGGCGUUACGCUGGAAAUGAGAACGCUGCGAGCGGGCAAGCUGGGGCACGACAGGCUCCUCCAGCUGCCUCGUUACUGCCCCGUUUGUUUGUGUUUUUUCUGUAAAUGUGCUGCUCGGUGAAUACUUCUUCUGUGAGAGCCUACAACAGACAAUGGUGAUGGGAUCAGCCGUGAUCCCCGCCGCUGGGGCAUGAGCACGGCUUGAACAAGCGUGGUCCUCACUGCGCAUCCCCGGGGCCCUUCCUGGGAACUGAAAGGUUCAGGUUUGGCCCUGCACGUUUUGGGUUGGAGCCUGGCAGGGGGACCUGAUGCUCACAACGCAUCCGGGGAGGCAGGCAGUAAAUUUGGAUGGGUCAAACAGGAGGCGCUGCGUGCCCCGAGCCGCUUUUACCGUGGGAAUCCUUCGAGGAGGAGCGCGGGAAGGCCGUGCCCCCCUUGCCCCGCUUUCCCAGCGGGUCAGCCAGCUUCGCCCUGCUCCUGGCUCGCUUGGCAAAUUCCUCAGGAGCAGCGAGCCUGGCCCGGGCCGGCCUCUCCGCCUCCGCUCCCUGCUCCCAGCCCCAGCAGGUGCCGGCGCAAGCCCCGCGCUGUGGCUCCAGCUCGGUGCCGGCAGCUGCGGGGCUGGGGCACGGCAGGCGGCGUAAAGCAGCCCCAGGUCGUCCCCGUUCCCGAGAGGAGGGACAGCGGGGGCAGGCGGGAGCAGAGGCAGCUGGCGAGCGCUCCUCCGAGCAAAUAUUUAGCAUUUUUAUGUGCCUGUGUCUGGGGGCUGUGGAGCCAGGCUCGCAGUGCCCAGAAACGUCUGUUUUUUCAGCUCAUUCCAGAGGCGGCCGCUCAGCCGGGCUGCUCGGGCAAGGGGCAAAGUCUGCAGGGCUUCAAGCACAGAUCUGCGGGGCCUGCAUCUUGUCCCUGCUGGGGCCAGGGCCUCGUCCCCAUCUCCUCGGCCUGGGAAAAGGAACAAGGACAGGGCUGAAGCAGCCUCAACCCUGCGAUUUCACCGCCUUCAUGGGGCAAGUGGUGGCACCGUGGAUCCAGCCUCCUCCUCGCCUGCGGGGAGAGGCACCUUCAGCACCCCUCGCUGUGGGAUUUGGCCACGUCCCCUCAUCGCACACAGCCCCGUGCCUCCUCCUGCAGCCAGGAGCUGAACUUUGCCACCAAAACCGCCUCCGAGCACAGCCCGUGCCCGGGACACCCCUGUCCUCGCUGUGGAAGAGCGGGGCCAGAGCCAGCACUGGCGAAGGGCCAGCGGUGCUGUGCCCGACCGUGCGCUGCACACUCCCCCCUUGGGUGCUUUGCUGCCUUUUUUUGGGGUUUCAGACCCAUUUUUGGGUGCAUAUCACACCCACUGCCUGAGCUGUGUGAGCUCUGUGCUGUGCCAGCACCCUGGCGUCCAGCCUCGUGCUGGCACCUCGGGAGCUGCCCUUUGGGAACUUCUGCGCGGCCCUGAGUGGGUGCUCAAGGGCUGCUUGUUUGUCUUCCCCUCGAGCAGGGCACUCGGGGAAAUGCCUUGAAGUCAAAUGGGUGCUUGGACCCAGUAAGUGCUGGCAGCUUGGAGCCAAGGAGAUGUUUAUAGUGAGGAAAGCAGCUCGCUGCUGUUAUCGGGAGCAUCUGUACCCGCGUUUAAUUGUCACCACGCGUCGCUGCCCCGUGCUGGGAGCUACUGGCGGUGUCCAGGAGCUCCUCUUCCCCAGGGAGAAAUCCUCAGCAGUGCCCAGCCCGGGUCCCUGCUCGUGUGCCAUGAUCCAGGCACAUCCCAGCAGCCCGGUGCCCCUCAGGACACGGUGACAAACCGGGGGCUGAGCCCGCAGGGACGGCGGCAGCUGCAGCCCCCUGGGAAGGGGACGCGGGGACAUCCUUCCUUUGUCACCGGCAAGGACGAGCGGGCAGGACGCAGCCCUGCUUAUCCCGGGCCCCGUGACAGCGCUAUCUGCCCUGUGAUACCCGCGGGGCCUGGGAUGCCUUUUAAAGGAGAGAAGCGACAAGUGGGGGGCCGGGGCGAGGUGGUGACGUGCCGAGCCCCAGGCGCUGGCAUGUGCCGCCUGAUGAGACCCAGGGCCCGCCAGCCCCGGCACGCCGCAGCCUCUGCCCCCCACCCAGGGGCCCUGGCUUCUGCUGCGGGGCUUGUCCAGGGAUGUGGGCGCUUUAGGAGGGACAAAUAACCCCAUCAACCCCAUAAACUGGGGGACCCCGACACGGGGGACAGGAGGACUGCGCAUCGAUGGCUGUCCUCUGGGCGAACCCAGCAAGCAGCAACUUUUUUCCCCCUUAACCUCCUUUUUCUUUCUUUUUUUUUUUCCCUUAAAUACUUUUCCCUCCAGUCUCUUCUCGCCCUGUAACGCAUCCAACUGAUCCGAGGUGCCAGAAAAUGUGAGGAAAAGGCGCGGAGGGGAAGGCUGCGCAGCGCCGGCCCUUCCGCCGCGUUUCCAUCUGAAGGCAGGCGGGAGAGCGGAGGGGAGCCGGAGCAGGGGAGAGGGCCGAGAAGGUCUCCUCCCUGGGCAAGGACUGGCACAAGUUCUGCCUGAAGUGCGAGCGCUGCAACAAGACCCUGACCCCGGGCGGGCACGCCGAGCAUGAUGGGAAGCCCUUCUGCCACAAGCCCUGCUACGCGACGCU